rnacentral:rRNA from 1 species
UAGGGAAUCUUCCACAAUGGACGCAAGUCUGAUGGAGCAACGCCGCGUGAGUGAAGAAGGGUUUCGGCUCGUAAAGCUCUGUUGUUAAAGAAGAACGUGGGUAAGAGUAACUGUUUACCCAGUGACGGUAUUUAACCAGAAGGCCACGGCUAACUACGUGCCAG